rfam:Tetrapisispora blattae CBS 6284 chromosome 8, complete genome
GCGGGUUUAGCUCAGUUGGGAGAGCGCCAGACUGAAGAAUACUUUGGUUUAAGAUAUCUGGAGGUCCUGUGUUCGAUCCACAGAAGUCGCA